rnacentral:lncRNA from 1 species
CAAAAGUCAAAAUGUAGGACUGUUUACCUGAGCUACGUAACGAUAUGAAGAGACAACACAGCUACAAGAUGAGUUCAGUGACUAUCAGUUGACCCCAUUAGAUGAACUUUCACUUUGCACUUCCCCUGAAACUGACAUUGGUACAUUUUGGGGAGAAAUGUCCAAGUUGCAUGACAUUUUUCUUAAGAAGCCACGAUUUUUUGUUUUGUCAAAACUUGCUAAAACAUUACUGGUUUUGCCAAACAGCAAUGCAGACAGUGAGAGGGCAUUUUCUUUAGUAAAGAAAAUAGCUACAGAGUUUAGGGCUGAUCUUAAUAAGGAUACACUGUGUGCUCAGUCUUUCUUGUAAAAUGAAUACACAUUUGCAUUGCUAUGAACUGAAACCAAGUGCAGUUCUUUUAAAGAAUGCCAAGUCUGCUACUAUGGAAUAUAACAAUAGUCUGAAAUAAACUUGUAUACAUGUUCUUACUGUUUCAUAUACAUAUUGACUAUAUAAAUUAUAUGUAAACAUAUUUUUGUUCUUCAAUUGAGCCCGCAAAAUGUCGUACGCGUUAUGACCUGAGAUUUUUUUUCUCAAUGCAGGUCAUGACCUGACUUUUCAUUUUCAGAGGUUGACAGGUAUGCAAAGAUUCAUUAUAAUUUAAGACUUUUAGGUAUUAGAGACAACAUUAAAAGACCGAUAUGUAGGAUAAAGCAAAAAUCGUAAUUCUCAUAAUUAUUAAUACCAUAUCUGUCUGUCUGUUCUUGUCUUGUAUUGUGAUUAGACUUUGGUGAUUUUUUUAUGACUAGAUUUAAAUAUAGUGACAUUGCAGUAUUAUACUUUAAGUACUAGUACUGCUUAAGUCCACACUAGGGACCAUCUUCACCUUGUUUUACGCUAUUAAUGUUUCUUUAAAAGUAUUGUUGAAUACCAUCCGGCAACUAUCAAGAUGAAGAGCAGGAACACAAACUUUGACCAUUGAUCAUUUGUAUUUUUUCUAUGCAUUGACUUUGUGUGCGAUUAUGUCCCCAUACUCCUUUAUUAUCUGUUAAAGGGUCUCAACACGACUUAAUGCAAGUUUAAGAUUUCAAUGUAAAAGGUCAUAUAUGGCAAUACCUUGUUUUUUUUUCUUCAAAUUAUUUGAUACCAGGAAAUAUGUGACCUUACUUUAAUUCAAACCAUGUCAGCUAUCUAGUUUUAUUUACAACAAAACAAACUGUUUUGUAUUCUUUGAUAUCAAUUUAAAUUAUCCAUGCAGAAAGGACAAUUUUUUUUUGUGUCCACU